rnacentral:rRNA from 1 species
GACGAAGGUGGCGAGCGUUGUUCGGAAUCACUGGGCAUAAAGCGCACGUAGGCGGCGGCGUAAGUCGGAUGUGAAAUCCCUGGGCCUAACCCAGGAACUGCGUCCGAUACUGCGUUGCUUGAGGACCAAAGGGGUGCAUGGAAUUCCCGGUGGAGCGGUGAAAUGCGUAGAUAUCGGAAGGAACACCAGUGGCGAAAGCGGCUUCCUGGUCCGACACCGACGUUCAGGCACGAAAGCGUGGGGAGCAAACAGG